GGCGCCAUCGUCUAGGGGUUAGGACACAGGAUUCUCAUUCCUGUAACUGGGGUUCGAUUCCCCAUGGCGCUACCA
rnacentral:tRNA from 2 species